rnacentral:sRNA from 1 species
GAGGAUUGCCCUUCGUGGGCGUUUCCUCCCUAGACUUCGGGCCGCUCUUACCAGGGCGGCCUCUUUCUUUGGGCGGC